AACCAAAGUUUGUGAGGCAAAGUUGAGGCAUCUGACUAUAGAAAGAAUGCAUACGUUCUCUGACACAGUUUGAGCUUGCUAAAGCAAGAAAGUCUAACCUAUUCCAGUGUUCUCUUCCCCAUGAGGCAAGCUGUCAUACAGGCUCAAAGAAU